AGAGUUUGAUCCUGGCUCAGAUUGAACGCUGGCGGCAGGCCUAACACAUGCAAGUCGAGCGGUAACACAGAGAGCUUGCUCUCGGGUGACGAGCGGCGGACGGGUGAGUAAUGUCUGGGAAACUGCCUGAUGGAGGGGGAUAACUACUGGAAACGGUAGCUAAUACCGCAUAACGUCGCAAGACCAAAGUGGGGGACCUUCGGGCCUCAUGCCAUCAGAUGUGCCCAGAUGGGAUUAGCUAGUAGGUGGGGUAAUGGCUCACCUAGGCGACGAUCCCUAGCUGGUCUGAGAGGAUGACCAGCCACACUGGAACUGAGACACGGUCCAGACUCCUACGGGAGGCAGCAGUGGGGAAUAUUGCACAAUGGGCGCAAGCCUGAUGCAGCCAUGCCGCGUGUAUGAAGAAGGCCUUCGGGUUGUAAAGUACUUUCAGCGAGGAGGAAGGCGUUAAGGUUAAUAACCUUGGCGAUUGACGUUACUCGCAG
rnacentral:rRNA from 1 species